GCUCCCUUCGGGGAGCAAGUAGAGUGGCGCACGGGUGAGUAACACGUAGGUAAUCUACCUUUGGAUGGGGAAUAACAACCGGAAACGGUUGCUAAUACCGCAUAAUGCAGCGGCACCUAAUGGUGACAGUUGUUAAAGCGGGGGAUCGCAAGACCUCGCGUCUGAAGAGGAGCCUGCGGCAGAUUAGCUAGUUGGUAGGGUAACGGCUUACCAAGGCGAUGAUCUGUAGCCGGCCUGAGAGGGCGGUCGGCCACACUGACACUGACAUACGGGUCAGACUCCUACGGGAGGCAGCAGUCGGGAAUUUUGGGCAAUGGGCGAAAGCCUGACCCAGCAACGCCGCGUGAAGGAUGAAAUCCCUCGGGAUGUAAACUUCGCAAGAACGGGAAGAAUAAGUCUGCGCAAAUAUCGCAGAUGAUGACGGUACCGUUUGUAAGCUCCGGCUAACUCCGUGCCAGCAGCCGCGGUAAUACGGGGGGAGCAAGCGUUGUUCGGAUUUACUGGGCGUAAAGGGCGCGUAGGCGGCCACCGCAAGUCGACUGUGAAAUCUCCGGGCUUAACCCGGAACGGUCAGCCGAUACUGCGGGGCUAGAGUGCAGAAGGGGCAACUGGAAUUCUCGGUGUAGCGGUGAAAUGCGUAGAUAUCGAGAGGAACACCUGCGGCGAAGGCGGGUUGCUGGGCUGACACUGACGCUGAGGCGCGAAAGCUAGGGGAGCGAACGGGAUUAGAUACCCCGGUAGUCCUAGCCUUAAACGAUGAAUGCUUGGUGUCUGGGGUUUUAUA
rnacentral:rRNA from 1 species